rnacentral:rRNA from 1 species
UUGCCAGCACGUAAUGGUGGGAACUCAUGGGAUACUGCCGGGGUUAACUCGGAGGAAGGGGGGGAUGAUGUCAAAUCAUCAUGCUCCUUAUGUUUGGGUUUCACGCAUGAUACAAUGGCCGGUACAAAGGGUUGCAAUACCGUGAGGGGAGUGAAUCCCAAAAAGCCGGUCCCAGUUUGAUUGAGGUUUGCAACUCGACCUCAUGAAGUCGGAGUCGCUAGUAAUCGCAGAUCAGCAACAGAAGGGUGAAUACGUUUCCGGGUCUUGUACACCCCCCCAAUCAAGUCCUUUAAGUCGGUAACACAAAACCGGUGGCCCAACCCUUGGAGGUUGCACUCAGGAGGAAAGCAGGGGUCCG